UCCUGAGUUAUCGGGACACACAAACUCACGCGAGAACCUGCGAACUGCAAGUGACUCUUUGCGGACUCACUAAUGGCGGAUUACUGCUCGCACACCUUCAACCUGCCCAUACGCGUUUACAUUACCGCUUCAAUUAAGCAUUGCAAUGGCUACAUCCUCAACCCCUGGCCUCCCACAAGAUGAUGAUGGUCUGUGGGAAUUUCUACGCAACAGAGGUGUUCAUGAGGAGAGUAUUCAGAAAAUUAAACAAGAUCAUAUUGACAGCUCGAUAAUUGGAGAAAUAGAUGAUACUGCUUUGGCCUCUUACAUUCCAGCCUAUGGUGAUAGGAUUGCUACAAGGCAUUUCUCAGUGGAAAAACAGAGAAGAGGUGGAGAUGAUACAAAAAGUUUCCAAAAACUUAGUAAGAAAAUGGGCACAAUGGGUAACAAAGCCUGUGAUCAUGGUUUUGAGGGAGAGAGAGAGAAUACAGUGAAACCAACAAAUGUGUACCUAAAAAAUAAUAAGCGAGCCUGGAAGACAACCAGAAAAAUAGAAUUAGGGUGGAUACAUAACAACAAACAAGUCAGAAAACGCAGCGGUGGAGGAACCAGAGUUCUGGAUAUUAACAAGAAUGCCACUAAAACUGAGAUCCUGUCUCAAGCAAAACAACUGUUUUUCCCAAAUGAGAAGUCAACAAUGGGAAAGUGGGAAGAGUUCAGUCAUGACAUCGUUAACUUUCAGGAAGCACAAGUUGAUGAGGACGUAAGUGUGCGGGAGUGUUAUGACACACACAAAUUAGCUUUGUUAAGAUUUUAUUUGUUCACAAAGACCCUUGCCGGUGGAGAUGACCAAGAGGAAGGAGCUGACAUACCGACAGAUGAGCAACAUGAAAACUCAACAGAAUGUGGACAAAAGAAACAAACAAUGGAAA